AAAAAGAGAAAAAAUUUGAACAAAGUUCCAUUCUAUCGCGAUUCAAGAAUUUUCAAAGAAAAUUCCAGCAUCACCGAUGAUAUUUCCUAAAACAUGUAGUAUUAUAUAAAAUACAUAGCACAGCUGUCUUUUUCAUCAGGCACAAAAUCAUUCGCCUCUAAAUUCGACAUAAUCACUAAUAUCUCGCGUAUUUACAACAUAAAAUAAUGGACGCUAAUUAAUUUAAAUGAGGAAACAAACAUAACUCGUAAAAGCUGCCUGGAUUAAAAUUAGUAUAAAAUUAGCGUGUCUAAUUACAAAUGAAACUCGCUAAUUAUCGACCAUCAAGUGGAUACAAAAAGAGACAAAGAUAUAAUAUAAGAGAGCAACAAAGAGAUAAAAGAACGAAGAGGUCGAAGAAGACAGCGGACAGAACUCAACUAUCGCCUCUGGGGCUGAGUAAGGCACAGGACAAGUGAUAGGCACGGUAUUCCCCGCUGGAACGUUUAUAACGACUUCGCUCUUAUCGGUAAACUUCUCUAGCGUAGCAAGCGUCAAUCUUGCCGGGUCAGAAGCUAAACCACUCGAACCUAACAACGUAAAAUCAAAUUACCAAAUUGUAAUUUAAACAUUGUGAAAGAUGUUAAAGAAAAUGAAAUACAAAAAUAUUUACCAUAAAAUGCUAUACAACGGUAAUCACCGGCUUUGGAUUCAUUGUCAAAGUUCACUACGUGCCUGGACGUUUUCCCACCGUUACUAGACAUGUGAAAAACCUGCAACCACCUAUCCGAACCUAAUGGUCUAUGGCGCCAGGAGAAACGUUCUGCUCCGAGAUUCAAAUUGCAUUCAAAAUUCACAUCAUCUCCUAUUGGCGCGGCCAAAGGUUGCGGAUGUUUAGUGAAGAUCAUGCCUAGUUCUUGCUUCUGUCCUGUAAUUUAUACGAAUAAUUUAAUUCUCAUAGUAUUCAAUUUUUCUAGUCGCACGAAAAUACUAUUAAAAAUGAUACAAAUUGUAAUAUACUUGAAUGUAAUUAAUCAUGUGUAAAUACUUUCUUUAACCACUGUAUAUUAAAAUGUAAUGAAUAUCAUAAAUAAAAAAUAUAUAAGACAAAACUGACCAUGUGCAAAGCUGGUUAGGACAUGAAGUAGGACCGUGAUAACGGCAUAUAGAAAAAGCACAGGUCGCAUCUUGACUCAUUCUGCAAUCAAAGAAAACAAAAAUUACAAGUUAGUCACAUAUGUCGCUCUCAUUCUUAUUA
rnacentral:misc_RNA from 1 species